rnacentral:rRNA from 1 species
UACGGGGGGGGCAAGCGUUGUUCGGAAUUACUGGGCGUAAAGGGCUCGUAGGUGGCCAACUAAGUCAGACGUGAAAUCCCUCGGCUUAACCGGGGAACUGCGUCUGAUACUGGAUGGCUUGAGUUUUGGGAGAGGGACGCGGAAUUCCAGGUGUAGCGGUUGAAAUGCGUAGAUAUCUGGAGGAACACCGGUGGCGAAGGCGGCGGU